rnacentral:lncRNA from 10 species
GGUCUCACUCUGUUGCCCAGGCUGGAGUGCACUGGCUCAAUCAUCGCUCACUACAGCCUCCACCUCCCAGGUUCAAGGAAUCCUCCUGCCUCAGCCUCCUUAGUAGCUGGGACCAGAGGGGUUAGUGUCCAAGACUGCCAUUGCCAGCUACGUGACCUUGGGAAAGUCCCUCAGUGCCUCCAUUUCCCUGUUGACAGACAGGGCAUGACUGUGCCGAGCACAUGGAAUUGUUGUGACAGCAAAUGAAAUCAUCUCUGCGAUGUGUGGGAGGCUGAGCUGAGUGCUGGGCAAGUGCUCACCGCACAUUCCUGGUCAUUGUUGUUGUUAUCGUGGCAGGAGGAUUUCAUUGAGUUUGGAGCCCUUCCCAGGGUAACAAAGCAAGGAGUCAUUUAAGAUUAAUGUUGCUCUUUUAUGAUCUAGAUAGGCCCUUGGGCAGAGCAAGAAGAAACCAAAGCUGCUUCUCACCAGCCAUGUGGGCUCACUGGCUAGGAGAGCUGAUUGGGCUCCUUUUUAAACUUGGAAAAUAAUUCCUCUUUAAAUAUGGUUUUGGACAAUAAAAAUGAAACAUAUGUACCUGUAAAAAAUGA